CUAAUGGUUUUGCCAAGGCCCUCUUUUCUUUAGUGGUUCAAAGUCAAACAUGAUUAAGGCUCUUGCUUAAUGGCGAAUGUACCUAUAUUCUCUCGACUGAAAUUAGUUGAUUUAUUUAAAUGCAUAGUUAUAAUCAGAAUUUUUAACUUGGUAGCUCGAUUGGCGAUUCCUAUUAUUUGGCUAGUAUCAGCAAAGGCUGAAGUCCCCGCC
rnacentral:lncRNA from 1 species